UGCCAGCCGCCGCGGUAAUACGAAGGGUGCUAGCGUUGUUCGGAAUUACUGGGCGUAAAGAGCAUGUAGGCGGUUCGUUAAGUCUGAUGUGAAAUCCCAGGGCUCAACCCUGGAACUGCCUUUAAAACUCCCAGUCUUGAGUUCGAGAGAGGUGAGUGGAAUUCCGAGUGUAGAGGUGAAAUUCGUAGAUAUUGGGAAGAACACCAGUGGCGAAGGCGGCCUCCUGGCUCGAUACUGACACUGAGGUGCGAAAGCGUGGGGAGCAAACAGGAUUAGAUA
rnacentral:rRNA from 1 species